rnacentral:rRNA from 1 species
UACGAAGGGGGCUAGCGUUGCUCGGAAUUACUGGGCGUAAAGGGCGCGUAGGCGGCACUGUUAGUCAGGCGUGAAAUUCCUGGGCUCAACCUGGGGACUGCGCUUGAUACGGCAGAGCUAGAGGAUGGAAGAGGGUCGCGGAAUUCCCAGUGUAGAGGUGAAAUUCGUAGAUAUUGGGAAGAACACCGGUGGCGAAGGCGGCGACCUGGUCCAUUACUGACGCUGAGGCGCGAAAGCGUGGGGAGCAAACAGG